rnacentral:rRNA from 1 species
AUUGAACGCUGGCGGCAGGCCUAACACAUGCAAGUCGAGCGGAUGAGUGGAGCUUGCUCCAUGAUUCAGCGGCGGACGGGUGAGUAAUGCCUAGGAAUCUGCCUGGUAGUGGGGGACAACGUUUCGAAAGGAACGCUAAUACCGCAUACGUCCUACGGGAGAAAGUGGGGGAUCUUCGGACCUCACGCUAUCAGAUGAGCCUAGGUCGGAUUAGCUAGUUGGUGAGGUAAAGGCUCACCAAGGCGACGAUCCGUAACUGGUCUGAGAGGAUGAUCAGUCACACGGGAACUGAGAAACGGUCCAGACUCCUACGGGAGGCAGCAGUGGGGAAUAUUGGACAAUGGGCGAAAGCCUGAUCCAGCCAUGCCGCGUGAGUGAAGAAGGGCUUCGGAUUGUAAAGCACUUUAAGUUGGGAGGGAGGGCAGUAAGUUAAUACCUUGCUGUUUUGACGUUACCAACAGAAUAAGCACCGGCUAACUUCGUGCCAGCAGCCGCGGUAAGAC